rnacentral:rRNA from 1 species
GUGACUGCGUACCUUUUGUAUAAUGGGUCAGCGACUUAUAUUCUGUAGCAAGGUUAACCGAAUAGGGGAGCCGGAGGGAAACCGAGUCUUAAUUGGGCGUUAAGUUGCAGGGUAUAGACCCGAAACCCGGUGAUCUAGCCAUGGGCAGGUUGAAGGUUGGGUAACACUAACUGGAGGACCGAACCGACUAAUGUUGAAAAAUUAGCGGAUGACCUGUGGCUGGGGGUGAAAGGCCAAUCAAACCGGGAGAUAGCUGGUUCUCCCCGAAAGCUAUUUAGGUAGCGCCUCGUGAAUUCAUCUCCGGGGGUAGAGCACUGUUUCGGCUAGGGGGCCAUCCCGGCUUACCAACCCGAUGCAAACUGCGAAUACCGGAGAAUGUUAUCACGGGAGACACACGGCGGGUGCUAACGUCCGUCGUGAAGAGGGAAACAACCCAGACCGCCAGCUAAGGUCCCAAAGUCAUGGUUAAGUGGGAAACGAUGUGGGAAGGCCCAGACAGCCAGGAUGUUGGCUUAGAAGCAGCCAUCAUUUAAAGAAAGCGUAAUAGCUCACUGGUCGAGUCGGCCUGCGCGGAAGAUGUAACGGGGCUAAACCAUGCACCGAAGCUGCGGCAGCGACGCUGAUGCGUUGUUGGGUAGGGGAGCGUUCUGUAAGCCUGCGAAGGUGGCCUGUGAGGGUUGCUGGAGGUAUCAGAAGUGCGAAUGCUGACAUAAGUAACGAUAAAGCGGGUGAAAAGCCCGCUCGCCGGAAGACCAAGGGUUCCUGUCCAACGUUAAUCGGGGCAGGGUGAGUCGACCCCUAAGGC